rnacentral:rRNA from 1 species
CUACGGGGUGCAGCAGUAAGGAAUAUUGGUCAAUGGACGAAAGUCUGAACCAGCCAUGCCGCGUGAAGGAUUAAGGUCCUCUGGAUUGUAAACUUCUUUUAUAUGGGACGAAAAAAGGUCUUUCUAGAUCACUUGACGGUACCAUAUGAAUAAGCACCGGCUAACUCCGUGCCAGCAGCCGCGGUAAUACGGAGGGUGCAAGCGUUAUCCGGAUUCACUGGGUUUAAAGGGUGCGUAGGCGGGCAGGUAAGUCAGUGGUGAAAUCCUGGAGCUCAACUCCAGAACUGCCAUUGAUACUAUCUGUCUUGAAUAUUGUGGAGGUAAGCGGAAUAUGUCAUGUAGCGGUGAAAUGCUUAGAUAUGACAUAGAACACCCAUUGCGAAGGCAGCUUACUACGCAUAUAUUGACGCUGAGGCACGAAAGCGUGGGGAUCAAACAGGAUUAGAUACCCCGGUAGUC